GUGCCAGCAGCCGCGGUAAUACGAACUGCGCAAACGUUAUUCGGAAUCACUGGGCUUACAGGGUGCGUAGGCGGCGGAGAAAGUAGGGUGUGAAAUGCCUUGGCUCAACCAAGGCACAGCGCUCUAAACUACUUCGCUCGAGUGAGUCAGGGGUACGCGGAACUUCCGGUGGAGCGGUGAAAUGUGUUGAUAUCGGAAGGAACACCGGUGGCGAAAGCGGCGUACUGGGGCUUAACUGACGCUGAGGCACGAAAGCCAGGGGAGCGAACGGGAUUAGAAACCCUCGUAGUCC
rnacentral:rRNA from 1 species